AAGACUAUAUUUUCAGGGAUCAUUUCUAUAGUUCAUUACUAGAGAAGUUUCUCUGAAUGUGUAGAGCAUCAGAAACCACAAGGAGGAGGAGCAGCAUUCUCUCCUGAGCGUGAAGCUGGCUCUUGGUGUUGCUUUUAGUGCAAUUGCCAUUUGCCAUUAAUGAUCGUAAAAAAUAAAUAAAUAAAUAAAAAUUUUAAAAAAGGAAUUUUAAUAGC
rfam:Otolemur garnettii contig036953, whole genome shotgun sequence.